AUGAAGACGCCCAUUCAAGCUUUAUUUACGUUCUUGUGGCUGCAGCUGGAAAGGGUCAGCCAAGGAGAGAAUGUGGACCAGCAUCCUCCUUCCUUGAGCGUCCAGGAGGAAAAGAGUUGUGUUAUCAACUGUACUUAUUCAGACAGUUACUCAACCUACUUCUCUUGGUAUAAGCAAGAACCUGGAAAAGGUCCCCAGCUCAUUAUAGACAUUCUUUCAAAUGUGGACAAAAAAGAAAACCCAAGACUCACUGUUUUAUUGAAUGAGAAGGCCAAAUAUCUUUCCCUGCACAUCGCGGCCACCCAACCUGGAGACUCAGCUGUCUACUUCUGUGCAGUGGGCACACAUUGCUUCCCAGGCACCUGCAGUCUGUACUCAAACCUGCGACCGGGGCAGCCCCCUUUUUGUUGA